rnacentral:rRNA from 1 species
AAACCGCCUAGAGGUAAACGGGUGGAUCCGCAAAGUCGGCCUGCGGAAUUCAGCUCGGGAGGCUCUCGGGCGCCCGUCGCCGGGCCGGGGAUGCAUCACCUUGCACUCUCCCGGCGCGGGACGCCCGCCGACCGUGUGCACUUUCCGCAGGCAGAGCGCCACGACCGGUUCUCGGCUGCGGUCAGAAGGGGGCGAGGAAGGUAGGCGCGCUUCGGUCCCCUCGCGGGGCCAGCGCGCUGUUACAGCCUCGCCCAUCCCGAUCCGCCCGAGGACCGAGGAGCCGCCGCCGGCGUCUCGGCCGCCCGCGCUUUCCUGGGACGUUCGACUGGCAGAGACUGGGCAACCGUGUCUGCCGACCGCUUCCCCGGAUGGACAGCGGGUCCGCGCCCGCCGGCACAGGGUCGGUGGCGAAUCGGUCGGCCCUCCACCCGACCCGUCUUGAAACACGGACCAAGGAGUCUAACAUGCGCGCGAGUCGUUGGGUAGUACGAAACCCGAAGGCGAAGUGAAAGCGAGGGCCGGUCUCCGCGACCGUUGCUCAGGUGGGAUCCCGCCUCUCUUGCUUAGGGGGUGGGCGCACCACCGGCCCGUCUCGUCAGCGUCGUCUGUGAGGCGGAGCAUGAGCGCGCACGUUGGGACCCGAAAGAUGGUGAACUAUGCCUGAGUAGGACGAAGCCAGAGGAAACUCUGGUGGAGGUCCGCAGCGAUUCUGACGUGCAAAUCGAUCGUCAAACUUGGGUAUAGGGGCGAAAGACUAAUCGAACCAUCUAGUAGCUGGUUCCCUC